rnacentral:lncRNA from 1 species
GAGACGGCCAGAGUCCCCAGGAAGAGCAGUUUCAUCCUCCAAGUGACGGCCAUUGCCUGGACCUCGACUCCCCUUCCCCAUGGAGGAUGAUCUCCUUAGGGAGCUGUGGCCUUUCUAGGCUAGCUUCUGCCUCCAUAUGUUUCCAACCUGGCUUCUCCUCACUGCACACUCACCUCUAGUACCAGCAGCUCAGGCCAGGGUCACAUUGUGAUAUACUCCUGGCCUGCGACGUUGUGUCACAAAGCCAAGCAUCAAGGUCUACGAAUUCCAACGAUUCACCGCAUCUCAAGAAGAUGGAAGUGUUUUAGAUAAAGGCCCACACAUUUGAAGCACAACCUGAGUUUUUUUGUGUUUGUUUGUUUCUGAGUAUCUGCGCAUGAAAAUUUGUAUUUCUGCUUCUUUGCCUGCCUUAGGGAAUAUGCGUAGUUCUGUGGAUACAGACAUACCCCGACCCCGACACGGGGUAGG